UGAGGAAUAUUGGUCAAUGGAGGAAACUCUGAACCAGCCAAGUCGCGUGAAGGAAGAAUGUCCUAAGGAUUGUAAACUUCUUUAGCGAGCGAGUAAGGACUUCCACGUGAUGGGAGUUUGAAAGUAGCUCGAGAAUAAGUAUCGGCUAACUCCGUUCCAGCAGCCGCGGUAAUACGGAGGAUCCGAGCGUUAUCCGGAUUUAUUGGGUUUAAAGGGUGCGCAGGUGGUCCUGCAAGUCAGUGGUGAAAAGCUGAGGCUCAACCUCAGCCUUGCCGUUGAAACUGCAAGACUUGAGAGUACAUGAUGUGGGCGGAAUGCGUAGUGUAGCGGUGAAAUGCAUAGAUAUUACGCAGAACUCCGAUUGCGAAGGCAGCUCACAAAGGUAUGUCUGACACUGAGGCACGAAAGCGUGGGGAGCAAACAGG
rnacentral:rRNA from 1 species